rnacentral:rRNA from 1 species
GGCAGCAUGGUCUUAGCUUGCUAAGGCCGAUGGCGACCGGCGCACGGGUGAGUAACACGUAUCCAACCUGCCGUCUACUCUUGGACAGCCUUCUGAAAGGAAGAUUAAUACAAGAUGGCAUCAUGAGUCCGCAUGUUCACAUGAUUAAAGGUAUUCCGGUAGACGAUGGGGAUGCGUUCCAUUAGAUAGUAGGCGGGGUAACGGCCCACCUAGUCUUCGAUGGAUAGGGGUUCUGAGAGGAAGGUCCCCCACAUUGGAACUGAGACACGGUCCAAACUCCUACGGGAGGCAGCAGUGAGGAAUAUUGGUCAAUGGGCGAGAGCCUGAACCAGCCAAGUAGCGUGAAGGAUGACUGCCCUAUGGGUUGUAAACUUCUUUUAUAAAGGAAUAAAGUCGGGUAUGCAUACCCGUUUGCAUGUACUUUAUGAAUAAGGAUCGGCUAACUCCGUGCCAGCAGCCGCGGUAAUACGGAGGAUCCGAGCGUUAUCCGGAUUUAUUGGGUUUAAAGGGAGCGUAGAUGGAUGUUUAAGUCAGUUGUGAAAGUUUGCGGCUCAACCGUAAAAUUGCAGUUGAUACUGGAUAUCUUGAGUGCAGUUGAGGCAGGCGGAAUUCGUGGUGUAGCGGUGAAAUGCUUAGAUAUCACGAAGAACUCCGAUUGCGAAGGCAGCCUGCUAAGCUGCAACUGACAUUGAGGCUCGAAAGUGUGGGUAUCAAACAGGAUUAGAUACCCUGGUAGUCCACACGGUAAACGAUGAAUACUCGCUGUUUGCGAUAUACGGCAAGCGGCCAAGCGAAAGCGUUAAGUAUUCCACCUGGGGAGUACGCCGGCAACGGUGAAACUCAAAGGAAUUGACGGGGG